CUCCUAUUCACACCCCUGGCCCAGCAGAUGAACUCAUGAUGGAUCCACAGCUGCCAGGUUGGAUCUCAGGUGGGGUCUCAGGUGUGUGGGGUCUCAGACAGGUGGGCUCUCAGGUGUGUGGGGUCUCAGCUGGGUGGAGUCUCAGAUGGGGUCUCAGACAGGUGGGGGUCUCAGGGUAAACAGGAAGUGGAGGAGGAAGUACCUUGCGACUGUUGAUCCUCUUUAUCAGGUCCACCGCCCAGCGGUGACUGG